CUCACUGUAAGCCGGUGCAUAGUGCGAGGCUGCAGUGCUGGAGCGCAGCCGGCAGGGGGCGCGCGGGAACUGCUGGGUUUAAAGCGAAACCGCGGAUAAAGGCAGUAAAUCCGGCGUAGCGUGAGCGCGUGCCCGCGGUCCUGCGCGCGGAGAGGAGCAGCGCCUCCGUUUUAACGAUAUUUGGGUGAAAUUCGUCGAUUUAGGAGCAACAGUGUGAACUUUUCUCCCGGCGGUGACGUAAAGCAGCGGUGGCGGCGACCGGCCAAUCACAUUCCAGCAGGCUGGCGGAGGUUACCCGGGAGAUUCGCUGCUCUCGUCGUUUUUACAUGGAUGCAGUGUUUCUGAGGGACUGAGGGGUGGAGUAUAAAGGGACAGACGGCUGGGCGUCGGCUCCAUGGCGGCCGCGGCCGGCAGCUCAGGCGCGUGUGCCCGGCCCGGCUGGGUGGCAUUCAGCGAGGAGUCUGAGCAGACAGAAGUCCCUGGUGUCGUAGAGAUGUCCAGUUUCCCUCCGUCUGCAGUGGACUCCUCGGCCUGGUCAGAUGCGCCCCCGGUGGCUAUGCAGCAGCGUGACAGCUGGGUGCAGUUUGAUGAAAAGCCUUGGUCUCCAUCUCCACCUCCACACCAGGUAAAAGGUAUGACCUGAAGAACUGUUUCUAGUCUGUUGCCUGAUGAUAAAUAUAACAUUUUUUACAUU
rnacentral:lncRNA from 1 species